rnacentral:rRNA from 3 species
GAAGGUGUGUCGUGAGGCAUGCUGGAGGUAUCAGAAGUGCGAAUGCUGACAUAAGUAACGAUAAAGCGGGUGAAAAGCCCGCUCGCCGGAAGACCAAGGGUUCCUGUCCAACGUUAAUCGGGGCAGGGUGAGUCGACCCCUAAGGCGAGGCCGAAAGGCGUAGUCGAUGGGAAACGGGUUAAUAUUCCCGUACUUGGUGUUACUGCGAAGGGGGGACGGAGAAGGCUAUGUUGGCCGGGCGACGGUUGUCCCGGUUUAAGCGUGUAGGUGUGUGUUCCAGGUAAAUCCGGUUCACUUUAACACUGAGGCGUGACGACGAGGCACUACGGUGCUGAAGCAACAAAUGCCCUGCUUCCAGGAAAAGCCUCUAAGCAUCAGGUAACACGAAAUCGUACCCCAAACCGACACAGGUGGUCAGGUAGAGAAUACCAAGGCGCUUGAGAGAACUCGGGUGAAGGAACUAGGCAAAAUGGUGCCGUAACUUCGGGAGAAGGCACGCUGACACGUAGGUGAAGUGAUUUACUCAUGGAGCUGAAGUCAGUCGAAGAUACCAGCUGGCUGCAACUGUUUAUUAAAAACACAGCACUGUGCAAACACGAAAGUGGACGUAUACGGUGUGACGCCUGCCCGGUGCCGGAAGGUUAAUUGAUGGGGUCAGCGUAAGCGAAGCUCCUGAUCGAAGCCCCGGUAAACGGCGGCCGUAACUAUAACGGUCCUAAGGUAGCGAAAUUCCUUGUCGGGUAAGUUCCGACCUGCACGAAUGGCGUAAUGAUGGCCAGGCUGUCUCCACCCGAGACUCAGUGAAAUUGAACUCGCUGUGAAGAUGCAGUGUACCCGCGGCAAGACGGAAAGACCCCGUGAACCUUUACUAUAGCUUGACACUGAACAUUGAGCCUUGAUGUGUAGGAUAGGUGGGAGGCUUUGAAGUGUGGACGCCAGUCUGCAUGGAGCCGACCUUGAAAUACCACCCUUUAAUGUUUGAUGUUCUAACGUGGACCCGUAAUCCGGGUUGCGGACAGUGUCUGGUGGGUAGUUUGACUGGGGCGGUCUCCUCCUAAAGAGUAACGGAGGAGCACGAAGGUUGGCUAAUCCUGGUCGGACAUCAGGAGGUUAGUGCAAUGGCAUAAGCCAGCUUGACUGCGAGCGUGACGGCGCGAGCAGGUGCGAAAGCAGGUCAUAGUGAUCCGGUGGUUCUGAAUGGAAGGGCCAUCGCUCAACGGAUAAAAGGUACUCCGGGGAUAACAGGCUGAUACCGCCCAAGAGUUCAUAUCGACGGCGGUGUUUGGCACCUCGAUGUCGGCUCAUCACAUCCUGGGGCUGAAGUAGGUCCCAAGGGUAUGGCUGUUCGCCAUUUAAAGUGGUACGCGAGCUGGGUUUAGAACGUCGUGAGACAGUUCGGUCCCUAUCUGCCGUGGGCGCUGGAGAACUGAGGGGGGCUGCUCCUAGUACGAGAGGACCGGAGUGGACGCAUCACUGGUGUUCGGGUUGUCAUGCCAAUGGCACUGCCCGGUAGCUAAAUGCGGAAGAGAUAAGUGCUGAAAGCAUCUAAGCACGAAACUUGCCCCGAGAUGAGUUCUCCCUGAGACUUAGAGUCUCCUGAAGGAACGUUGAAGACGACGACGUUGAUAGGCCGGGUGUGUAAGCGCAGCGAUGCGUUGAGCUAACCGGUACUAAUGAACCGUGAGGCUUAACCUUACAACGCCGAAG